GACGAACGCUGGCGGCGUGCUUAACACAUGCAAGUCGAACGGAAAGGCCCGGCGCUUGUGGGGUGCUCGAUAGGCGAACGGGGGAGUAACACGCGAGUAACCUGUCCUUGACUGUGGGAGAACUUCAGGAAACUGGGGCUAAUAUCGGAGAGGAUCUCCUGCUGCACGGGGGGGGUUGGAAAGAUUCGGCGGUUGGGGAUGGACUAGCGGCUUAUCAGCUUGUUGGUGGGGUAGUGGCUGACCACGGCUUUGACGGGUAGCCGGCCUGGGAGGGUGACCGGCCACCUUGGGCCUGCGAUACGGCCCAGACUCCUACCGGACGCAGCAGUCGGGAAUUUUGCGCAAUGGGCGGACGCCUGAUGCGGCAACGCCCCGUGCGGGAUGCCGGCCUUCGGGUUGUAAACCACUUUCGCCUGUGACGAGGCGUGCGUGACGGUACCGGGUAAAGAAGCACCGGCUAACUACGUG
rnacentral:rRNA from 1 species